ACGUAGGUCCCGAGCGUUGUCCGGAUUUAUUGGGCGUAAAGCGAGCGCAGGCGGUUAGAUAAGUCUGAAGUUAAAAGGCUGUGGCUUAACCAUAGUACGCUUUGGAAACUGUUUAACUUGAGUGCAAGAGGGGAGAGUGGAAUUCCAUGUGUAGCGGUGAAAUGCGUAGAUAUAUGGAGGACACCGGUGGCGAAAAGCGGCUCUCUGGCUUGUAACUGACGCUGAGGCUCGAAAGCGUGGGGAGCAAACAGGAUUAGAUACCCCGGUAGUCC
rnacentral:rRNA from 1 species